GGUAUCAGUUGUGUUUUGCUUUUUUGCUAAAUUUUUUUCUUCUCUGUUGUUGGUUGGAUUAGGUUAUGUUUGCUGGCUGUUUCACUGUACUAUAGCAGGGUUUAGUUGUGGGGUUUUGUUUUGUUUUUUUUGUAGUUUAUUUAGUUUGUAUUUGUUGGUUCUUCUCCUUUUCUUGUUUUUAAUUUAUUAACUGUAGACUUAUUCAAAAUGUGGUAGAGGGAAGCGGUGAUGCUUAUGGAAAUGAUAUUGUGAUUUUUGUAGAUGUAUUGUAAAAAGAUAUUUGUAGUUAAUUAAAAAGUAGCUUUGUAUUGUAAAGUGUAACUAGUUAAUUUUAAUUAUGUUUAUAGCAUUCUUAGUAACUAAACUGUUUUAACUAAUAAACCAUUGUGUGUGCCUGUGAAAAGAUCACAGGUGCUACUGAUAACUUAUUAGCAUCUCUGAAGUACAAAUAAAUGUAUUUUCUUACUUUGAUAACAGCAGCUGAUGUUUUUGUGCUUAAACUGAUCUUUGAGUUUUAUCAGUUUCUUUAACAUUUUAUUCUAUUUUUCUUGUUUGUUUUUUUUUUUAAGUUUAGAAUGUUAUAAAAACAGUUAAUUAAGCUUUUUUCAGUGAAGGCUGAUAGUUCUUAACAGGAAAAUAAAAAGAAGGACAGGCAAAUAGGCUUCUAAACUUUACUUAGUUGCUGCAAUGUAGGGUUGUUGCUCUGACUAUAAUUGGAGUUGCAUUUAAAAAUACAACUUCAAUUUUUUUUAAGGACUUUCAGUUCUUUCAGACUGCAUGUUGGUAUUAACAUUUCUUUAGUUUACAUAUUGUUAUGAAUAAUACUCUGAGUCGUUCAGACUUUCUAAUUAUAAUUAAUGAGGCAGAAUUUCAGUGUUUUCUUGACCUUCUGGAAGAGUCUUUUGAAAAUUCUUAUAUCUUUAUAGGUAAACUGUAAACAGAAACUUGCAUUAAAAUCAAGCUUAGUCCUAUUUCUGAUGGGAAAAAGUAAUGGCAGUACUUUGAGUAACAGCUUCCUGCUCUAUAAAAACAAGUUGUUCAAUUUCUAGCUUUGUCUGGACAGUAGAAUAAAAAAAGGAUUAGGUAGCUAAUAAUAAAUCAUUUUUAGUUAGGGUACUUUUGGUUCUUUAUUGUUUCAGUAGCCCUAUGUUUUAGCUCUGAGCAGAAUCACUUUGGAAGUUAAAAACAAGAAGGACUGAGGUUGUUGGGUAGUUCUUGGUUGACUCUUUUCUACUUGAAUGAGUUUCCCACUUAUAGCCUGAAAGUUAUGAUCCUUUGCCAAAUGCUGCAUCUCUAAUCUGGCAUACUAGUGUGAUGUAAUUUCCAGUUUGCUGGCAGCCCAUCUUGCUCAGAGUAAUUGUAAACAGUGAUGCUGGUAUUUUUAUUGGCUAAUUUUACAAGCUUGCAUCUGCUGUCAGCAGCUUCAUGUAAACACACUCCUGCUGCAGCAUCUGUUCUGCUGUAUAUUGCUCUUACCCUAGAACUUGCAUGUGCUGGGGAAGAAGUCAUAAAGCUCUCCUCUGAAAGAAGGUGUAUUGGAAAUUGGGAGCAGAGUAAGAUGCUCGCACCUUUUCCUGGGACUGACUCAAGAAAUCUCUAGAAAUUGAAUGCUUGAGUCUAUUGGAGAACAGAUUUCCAAAUGGCCUUCAGAUCUCCCUGUGGUGUCCAUCCCUGCUCACUGGUUGAGCAAACUGACUUUUUCUUAAUGAAAAAUUUGGAAAUGUGUAAAUGUUGGACUUCUGUGUAAAUGAAAGAUUUUUUUUGUGUGAACAAAAUUUGACAGACAGGAUUGUCUGACAAGCAGGAAAGUUAAAGUUGAUCUUGUGGAACCCAUAUGUAAUAGAUGGAUAUGGACAUCAGAAAAGAUCAGUUUCCAGCCCAAGUGGAGACUGUAUAAAGAAGUGUGAGCAGACUGGCAGCGGCCUCUUCUCCAUGGAUGUGAAGAUGUUCUCUUCUUCUAGAUGAGAGGCUAACUCAGACCCAGAGAAGCUACCUGAUCUGAGACUUCUUCAGAGAGAAGGGAUUGUGAAUUCUAUGCUUCCCUUGAAACAGAGCUUGCCUUGGAAUAAUUGCAUCUUACUUGGGUGAGGAAGAACAAACACACAAAUUCCUGAUGAGCUGCCUAGGUGACUGUCAGCAAGACAGAGGUAGAUUUGUAUCUCCUGAUAUGAUUAUUCCCUCCCUUGUAAAUAUGUUUUUUAAUCUUUUAUUACUAUGUGGAAAGUGUUGUAUUUGUUGCUUUAAAUAUGACAAGUGAACUUGCUUGUUUGUGUUGAAGUGAUUAUAAGCAUGUGCAGAAACAGUGCAGCCCUACAAAACUGAUAUUUAAGGGGCUUGGGUACUGGGAAAUAUGAAGUGAGAGAGUGUGAAGGCUGUUUGAUUUAGCUACGCUUGUUAUUGUAUGAUGCACUGCUAAGAUGGAAUAUGGCUUGUGAUGGUUCUUGUUUGGGGACUAAGCUCUGAACUGCAAUAAUGCAUUGACCAGAAGCUGUAGUAAGGAUGAGCAUUCAGUAAGAGUAAAGGGUUUGAUAAUGACUUCUGUUCAGCCUGCUCAUUUAAUUAUUUGCUGCUGUAUGUAGUUUCGCUGUAU